CGUAGGGUGCGAGCGUUGUCCGGAAUUACUGGGCGUAAAAGAGCUCGUAGGCGGUUUGUCACGUCGUCUGUGAAAUCCUCCAGCUUAACUGGGGGGCGUGCAGGCGAUACGGGCAGACUUGAGUACUACAGGGGAGACUGGAAUUCCUGGUGUAGCGGUGAAAUGCGCAGAUAUCAGGAGGAACACCGGUGGCGAAGGCGGGUCUCUGGGUAGUAACUGACGCUGAGGAGCGAAAGCAUGGGGUAGCGAACAGGAUU
rnacentral:rRNA from 1 species